GUAUAAAGUUUGUAGGCACGAAGGCCUUUUUCAUUACAUUCUAUAACAUAAAUGGUGUAUAUGAAGAAAACAUAGGCCUGGAAAUGUAAGGAAAGACAAAAGUCAAUCCCCAAACCUGAACGCCAGGCGUUCAGAAAGAUAUCCAGAUCUACAAAAGGUGCACAGGUGGAGAUAUAAAGAUGACAAGUGUGCACAUGCUCCCUAGAGAGCCAGCAGCAACCCAUCAGGUUUAUUUCAAUAAUGAUCCUUCCGCAGGUUCACCUACGGAAA
rnacentral:misc_RNA from 1 species